rnacentral:rRNA from 1 species
AGUGAACGCUGGCGGUAGGCCUAACACAUGCAAGUCGAACGGCAGCACAGUAAGAGCUUGCUCUUACGGGUGGCGAGUGGCGGACGGGUGAGGAAUACAUCGGAAUCUACUUUUUCGUGGGGGAUAACGUAGGGAAACUUACGCUAAUACCGCAUACGACCUACGGGUGAAAGCAGGGGAUCUUCGGACCUUGCGCGAUUGAAUGAGCCGAUGUCGGAUUAGCUAGUUGGCGGGGUAAAGGCCCACCAAGGCGACGAUCCGUAGCUGGUCUGAGAGGAUGAUCAGCCACACUGGAACUGAGACACGGUCCAGACUCCUACGGGAGGCAGCAGUGGGGAAUAUUGGACAAUGGGCGCAAGCCUGAUCCAGCCAUACCGCGUGGGUGAAGAAGGCCUUCUGGUUGUAAAGCCCUUUUGUUGGGAAAGAAAAGCAGCAGGUUAAUACCCCGCUGUUCUGACGGUACCCAAAGAAUAAGCACCGGCUAACUUCGUG